AUAGCAGAGAAUCAGGCUUCAUGUCAUAGCAGAGAAUCAGGCUUCACGUCACCCACCACUGGAACAGACCAUUGUCAGAUAUUUAGGCCCCGGCACCCAGACAGAGGAGAGAGGUCCCAUAGCAGAGAAUCAGGCUUCAUGUCAUAGCAGAGAAUCAGGCUUCAAGUCAUAGCAGAGAAUCAGGCUUCA